UGGGGAAUAUUGCACAAUGGGCGCAAGCCUGAUGCAGCGACGCAGCGUGAGGGAUGACGGCCUUCGGGUUGUAAACCUCUUUCACCAGGGACGAAGCGCAAGUGACGGUACCUGGAGAAGAAGCACCGGCCAACUACGUGCCAGCAGCCGCGGUAAUACGUAGGGUGCGAGCGUUGUCCGGAAUUACUGGGCGUAAAGAGCUCGUAGGCGGUUUGUCGCGUCGUCUGUGAAAUUCUGCAACUCAAUUGUAGGCGUGCAGGCGAUACGGGCAGACUUGAGUACUACAGGGGAGACUGGAAUUCCUGGUGUAGCGGUGAAAUGCGCAGAUAUCAGGAGGAACACCGGUGGCGAAGGCGGGUCUCUGGGUAGUAACUGACGCUGAGGAGCGAAAGCGUGGGUAGCGAACAGG
rnacentral:rRNA from 1 species